rnacentral:rRNA from 1 species
GACGAACGCUGGCGGCGUGCUUAACACAUGCAAGUCGAACGGUGAAGCGCCUUCCUUUUUGGUGGGUGUGGAUGAGUGGCGAACGGGUGAGUAACACGUGAGUAACCUGCCCCCUUCUUCUGGAUAACCGCAUGAAAGUGUGGCUAAUACGGGAUAUUCUGGGUCUGUCGCAUGAUGGGUCUGGGAAAGAUAUUGUUUCGGUGGGGGAUGGGCUCGCGGCCUAUCAGCUUGUUGGUGGGGUGAUGGCCUACCAAGGCGGUGACGGGUAGCCGGCCUGAGAGGGUGGACGGUCACACUGGGACUGAGACACGGCCCAGACUCCUAUGGGAGGCAGCAGUGGGGAAUAUUGCACAAUGGGCGCAAGCCUGAUGCAGCGACGCCGCGUGAGGGAUGGAGGCCUUCGGGUUGUGAACCUCUUUCGCCAGUGAAGCAGGCCUGCCUCGUUUGUGGGUGGGUUGACGGUAGCUGGAUAAGAAGCGCCGGCUAACUACGUG